AGAGUUUGAUCCUGGCUCAGGAUGAACGCUAGCUACAGGCUUAACACAUGCAAGUCGAGGGGCAUCAAAUUGGUUGCUUGCAACCGAUGUUGGCGACCGGCGCACGGGUGAGUAACGCGUAUCCAACCUUCCCUUUACUCUGGUAUAGCCCAGCGAAAGUUGGAUUAAUACCGGAUGUUAUCGAAAGCUCUCAUGAGACUUUGAUCAAAGAUUUUAUCGGUAAAGGAUGGGGAUGCGUCUGAUUAGGCAGUUGGCGGGGUAACGGCCCACCAAACCGACGAUCAGUAGGGGUUCUGAGAGGAAGGUCCCCCACAUUGGAACUGAGACACGGUCCAAACUCCUACGGGAGGCAGCAGUGAGGAAUAUUGGUCAAUGGACGUAAGUCUGAACCAGCCAAGUAGCGUGCAGGAUGACUGCCCUAUGGGUUGUAAACUGCUUUUAUGCGGGGAUAAAGUCAGCCACGUGUGGUUGUUUGCAGGUACCGCAUGAAUAAGGACCGGCUAAUUCCGUGCCAGCAGCCGCGGUAAUACGGAAGGUCCAGGCGUUAUCCGGAUUUAUUGGGUUUAAAGGGAGCGUAGGCUGUUGGUUAAGCGUGUUGUGAAAUGUAGAUGCUCAACAUCUGAAUUGCAGCGCGAACUGUCCGACUUGAGUGCGCGGAAAGCAGGCGGAAUUCGUUGUGUAGCGGUGAAAUGCUUAGAUAUGACGAAGAACUCCGAUUGCGAAGGCAGCUUGCUGUAGCGUAACUGACGCUGAAGCUCGAAAGUGCGGGUAUCGAACAGGAUUAGAUACCCUGGUAGUCCGCACGGUAAACGAUGGAUGCUCGCUGUGUGCUUAUUUUUAGUAUGCGGCUAAGGGAAACCAUUAAGCAUCCCACCUGGGGAGUACGCCGGCAACGGUGAAACUCAAAGGAAUUGACGGGGGCCCGCACAAGCGGAGGAACAUGUGGUUUAAUUCGAUGAUACGCGAGGAACCUUACCCGGGCUUGAACUGCCGGUGCCGGCAUGAGAGAUCAUGCUUUCCUUCGGGACACUGGUGGAGGUGCUGCAUGGUUGUCGUCAGCUCGUGCCGUGAGGUGUCGGCUUAAGUGCCAUAACGAGCGCAACCCCUGUCGUCAGUUGCCAUCAGGUAAUGCUGGGCACUCUGGUGAUACUGCCACCGUAAGGUGUGAGGAAGGUGGGGAUGACGUCAAAUCAGCACGGCCCUUACGUCC
rnacentral:rRNA from 1 species